UUCAGGAUGGCCAAGCGGUCAAAGGCGCUGCGUUCAUGUCGAAGUCCAUUUGGUUUUGGAAGUGGUUUUCGAAUCCCACUUCUGAUAA